rnacentral:rRNA from 1 species
UACAGAGGGUGCAAGCGUUAAUCGGAAUUACUGGGCGUAAAGCGUGCGUAGACGGUUACAUAAGUCGGGUGUGAAAGCCCCGGGCUCAACCUGGGAAUUGCAUUCGAGACUGCGUAGCUAGGGUGCGGAAGAGGGAAGCGGAAUUUCCGGUGUAGCGGUGAAAUGCGUAGAUAUCGGAAGGAACACCAGUGGCGAAGGCGGCGACCUGGACAGUGACUGACACUCAACUACGAAAGCGUGGGGAGCAAACAGG